rnacentral:rRNA from 1 species
GAGUUUGAUCAUGGCUCAGAUUGAACGCUGGCGGCAUGCCUUACACAUGCAAGUCGAACGGCAGCACGGGAGCUUGCUCCUGGUGGCGAGUGGCGAACGGGUGAGUAAUGCAUCGGAACGUAUCCUGGAGUGGGGGGUAACGUAGCGAAAGUUACGCUAAUACCGCAUAUUCUGUGAGCAGGAAAGGGGGGGACCUUCGGGCCUCGCGCUCUUGGAGCGGCCGAUGUCGGAUUAGCUAGUUGGUGAGGUAAAGGCUCACCAAGGCGACGAUCCGUAGCAGGUCUGAGAGGAUGAUCUGCCACACUGGAACUGAGACACGGUCCAGACUCCUACGGGAGGCAGCAGUGGGGAAUUUUGGACAAUGGGGGCAACCCUGAUCCAGCCAUGCCGCGUGAGUGAAGAAGGCCUCGGUU